CAUCUAUCCAUGAGAUGAAAAGCCAUGGGGUUGGUCUGGGCCGCACAGCUCUGCUAAGAUGUGAGGCAGCUGCUGUGCCUUCUCCGACUUUUGAGUGGUACAAGGGGGAGAAACGGAUUAUCAAGGGUCAGGGCAUCGACAUCAAGAGCCUCAGCUCAAGAUCAGUCCUCACAGUGAACAACAUGACAGAGGAUCGUUACGGGAACUACCAUGUGUCGCCUCCAACAAGCUAGGGACAGCCAACGCCAGUGUGCCUCUCAUCCCGCCCAACACUGCACCCUAUGGGAGCACAGGGAGCGCCCCCGUCCCGCUGGCCUGCCAGUACCUGGUCCUGGCGCUCUCCUCCUUCAUCAGCGUGUACUAACAGUAGACAUCCCGGACACAAUGACUGUCAAGAGCAUUUAUGAAUCCUUUUUUGACAUUGCUGAUGGCUGGAGUCCAAUCUGGUACAGUUUGUUGAAAAGCCGUGAUGGGGAAAAUGAUCAGCAUUACUUUGUGUGGGGAUUUGUUUUUGUUCUUUUUUUUGUUUUGUUUUUUUGCGUUUUGGUGAAAUUUCUGUUAUGUAAAUACUAUGAUGUUUUUUUUAUGUUCUUUCUUUCUUCUCUCAAGGUUUUCUUUGUUUUUCUGAUUGAUUGAUUGACCACCUUGUGAAUCAGUUCGCACCCCCACCUCUAAUCAUAUCUGAAAAACCCUGAAAACUCCAAAACAAUUUACUUUUAUGCCUCUUUCUCUGGGAGGUACUGGCGCAAAAUUGACAUUUUCAUCCGUUUUUGUACAUGGUUAAAAAAGAAGCAAUUGUGCCAAGUCUCUCAGUACACACAAUUACCAUACCAAUGUUGUAUUGAAUGUAUUAUGGGUUGUUGAACAAAGGAAAUACAUUUAGAUUCCUAACAAUACAAAUUUUGAUUAUGGAGUGUGCGUU